rnacentral:tRNA from 1 species
AGGUGCCAGAGUGGUCGAAUGGGACUGACUCGAAAUCAGUUGUGCGGGUUCACCCCGUACCGAGGGUUCGAAUCCCUCCCUCUCCGCCA